UACGUAGGGUGCAAGCGUUAAUCGGAAUUACUGGGCGUAAAGUGUGCGCAGGCGGCCGAGCAAGUCGAGUGUGAAAUCCCCGAGAUUAACUUGGGAAUUGCGCUCGAAACUACUUGGCUCGAGUGUGGCAGAGGAAGGUGGAAUUCCACGUGUAGCGGUGAGAUGCGUAGAGAUGUGGAGGAACACCGAUGGCGAAGGCAGCCUUCUGGGCCAACACUGACGCUCAUGCACGAAAGCGUGGGGAGCAAACAGG
rnacentral:rRNA from 1 species